rnacentral:rRNA from 1 species
CAACCUGAACUCAGUCGUGAUUACCCGCUGAACUUAAGCAUAUCAUUUAGCGGAGGAAAAGAAACUAAAAAGGAUUCCCUUAGUAACGGCGAGUGAAACGGGAAGAGCCCAGCGCCGAAUCGUUCAGUCUUUGGCUGCUACGAAAUGUGGCGUAUAGGUGUAGUCUUCCAGCAGUGUCGUAUGUCCGAAGUCCUUACGAUUGAGGCCAUAAACCAGAGAGGGUGCGAGCCCCGUUCUGGAUAGCGAUGCUGUUGGUUCGAUUGCUCCUUGGAGUCGGGUUGCUUGAAAGUGCAGCCUAAAGUGGGUGAUAAACUUCAUCUAAGGCUAAAUAUCGACUCGAUUGCGAUAGCGAACAAGUACCGUGAGGGAAAGUUGCAAAGGACUUUGAAGAGAGAGUUCAAGAGAACGUGAAAUCGCUGGAGUGGAACCGGAGACAGUUGAUGUCGCUUGGAGACAAGCUUGGUGGCUGGUCGCUUAGUUGUGAUCGUUGCCGGGUGUCGUCUCCUAUGCAACGCCGACGGCGUUGGCUGCUCGUUCUGGCCCGAUAAUGUUGCCCAGCUCGCAAGAGUCGGUGUCUUGUUGUCGGUAGUUGGUUCGUGGCGGCUAGCGUUUAGUUACACUAGUGUGUGUGACGUCGGUGUGAAAGUCAACGACGUUUCCGACCCGUCUUGAAACACGGAUUGCGGAGUGCUUGUCUACUGCGAGUCAAAGGGUGUUAAAACCUUGCGGCGAAAUGAAAGUGAAGGUCGAUCUCGAAUUGACCGACGUGGGAUCUGUGCUCUUCGGAGUGCUGCGCACCACGGCCCUAUACGUGUCACUUGUGACUGUGUAGAGGUUGAGCAGUUGGCAAACGACCCGAAAGAUGGUGAACUAUGCCUGAGCAGGAUGAAGCCAGAGGAAACUCUGGUGGAAGUCCGUAUCGGUUCUGACGUGCAAAUCGAUCGAUAGACUUGGGUAUAGGGGCGAAAGACUAAUCGAACCAUCUAGUAGCUGGUUCCUUCCGAAGUUUCCCUCAGGAUAGCUGGAUCUCUGGCAGUUAUAUUCGGUAAAGCUAAUGAUUAGAGGCCUUGGGGGCGUAAUGCCCUCAACCUAUUCUCAAACUUUCAAUGGAUAUGAAGUUGCAGUUUCUUUAGUGAACUGACAACGUGAAUGCGAGGUCCAAGUGGGCCAUUUUUGGUAAGCAGAACUGGCGCUGUGGGAUGAACCAAACGUGGAGUUAAGGUGCCUAACUUCUCGCUCAUGAGACCCCAUAAAAGGUGUUGGUUGAUAUUGACAGCAGGACGGUGGCCAUGGAAGUCGGUAUCCGCUAAGGAGUGUGUAACAACUCACCUGCCGAAUCAACUAGCCCUGAAAAUGGAUGGCGCUUAAGCGAGAGACCUAUACUCCACCGUUGCGACAUGUGCGUUGUCUAGCGCCAGGUCGUAACGAGUAGGAAGGUCGUGGCGGUUGCGUUGAAGGCUAUGAGCGUGAGCUCGGCUGGAGCUUCCGUCAGUGCAGAUCGUAAUGGUAGUAGCAAAUAUUCAAGUUCGAUCCUUGAAGACUGAAGUGGAGAAGGGUUCCACGUGAACAGUAGUUGGAUGUGGGUCAGUCGAUCCUAAGGUACUGGCGAACGCCUUGUAUCAUCGGUGGCGAAAAGCUUGCUUUUGGUCCCCGUUUGUCGAAAGGGAAUAGGGUUAAUAUUCCCUAACUGAGAUGCAAAGAUUGUGUUCUUCGGAGCACAAGCGCGGUAACGCAUUCGAACUUGGUUAGUCGCUCAAAGACCGAGCUAGAGUUUUCUUCUUUAGUUAAGGAACGGACUCCCUGGAAUUGGUUCAGCCAGAGAUGGGGACGUUGUUUCCGAAAAGCACCGCGGUUUCUGUGGUGUCUCGUGCUCUUUGAACGGCCCUUAAAACACCAAGGGAGGCUAUUAAUUUGCACUCAAUCGUACCGAUAUCCGCAUUAGGUCUCCAAGGUGAACAGCCUCUAGUCGAUAGAAUAAUGUAGGUAAGGAAAGUCGGCAAACUAGAUCCGUAACUUUGGGAAAAGGAUUGGCUCCAGUGGUCGGAACGAUUGGCCAGUUGGUUGAUGCUUGUCCGGCGCUAUUCUGUCUGUUUGAUGCUUUCGGGCUGAUGGCGGACUAGUGAUAGUGCUUGCUUGCGGACGCUUUCUGGUGUGUGCUUGAACCUCGGUUCUAGUAUCCUGAUCGCUCAUCUAAACGACCGAACUGGAACCGGUACGGACUCAGGGAAUCCGACUGUCUAAUUAAAACAGAGGUGACAGAUGGUCCUCGCGGACGUUGACUGUCACUGAUUUCUGCCCAGUGCUCUGAAUGUUAAAUCGUAGUAAUUCGAGUAAGCGCGGGUAAACGGCGGGAGUAACUAUGACUCUCUUAAGGUAGCCAAAUGCCUCGUCAUUUAAUUGUUGACGCGCAUGAAUGGAUUAACGAGAUUCCUACUGUCCCUAACUACUAUCUAGCGAAACCACAGCCAAGGGAACGGGCUUGGCAAAAAUAGCGGGGAAA